rnacentral:rRNA from 1 species
CAGUAGCCACGGGAAUACGAAGGGUGCAAGCGUUAAUCGGAAUUACUGGGCGUAAAGCGUGCGUAGGCGGUUUGUUAAGUCUGCUGUGAAAUCCCCGGGCUCAACCUGGGAAUGGCAGUGGAUACUGGCAAGCUAGAGUGUGUUAGAGGAUGGUGGAAUUUCCGGUGUAGCGGUGAAAUGCGUAGAGAUCGGAAGGAACAUCAGUGGCGAAGGCGGCCAUCUGGGACAACACUGACGCUGAGGCACGAAAGCGUGGGGAGCAAACAGGAUUAGAUACCCGCGUAGUCCCUGUCUCUUAUAC